UACGUAGGGUGCAAGCGUUAAUCGGAAUUACUGGGCGUAAAGCGUGCGCAGGCGGUGAUGCAAGACAGAUGUGAAAUCCCCGGGCUCAACCUGGGAACUGCAUUUGUGACUGCAUCGCUGGAGUGCGGCAGAGGGGGAUGGAAUUCCGCGUGUAGCAGUGAAAUGCGUAGAUAUGCGGAGGAACACCGAUGGCGAAGGCAAUCCCCUGGGCCUGCACUGGACGCUCAUGCACGAAAGCGUGGGGAGCAAACAGG
rnacentral:rRNA from 1 species